rnacentral:rRNA from 1 species
GACGAAGGGGGCUAGCGUUGUUCGGAAUUACUGGGCGUAAAGCGAGUGUAGGUGGUUGUCCAAGUUGGAUGUGAAAGCCUUGAGCUCAACUCAAGAAAUGCAUUCAGGACUGGGCGGCUAGAGGACCGGAGAGAAUAGUGGAAUUCCCAGUGUAGUGGUGAAAUACGUAGAGAUUGGGAAGAACACCAGUGGCGAAGGCGGCUAUCUGGACGGUUUCUGACACUAAGACUCGAAAGCGUGGGGAGCAAACAGG